AUGCCCACGCCCUCCAGGAAGCCCUCGAAGUAGCCGAUGUCCUGGUCCGGGAUGAAAGGCCGCAUCCCUGCGAGCCGAGGGGCGUGCCUCCAGGCUUUCGCUUGUGCCAUUCCCACCACCGGCCCCAGCUCACCGUGACCAUGUAAUCCUGUAACUGCUCCAAGCCCAGACCGCUGUGGUCGCUGCCGCUGCAGUGGGAGCCAUGGAAAGAAGGUGUGGACGUGCCGCUGUAACAUGCUUCAAAGGUGUCCUGGGAGCCAUUGCUGCAGGCACGGGAAGAAGGGCCUUCACUCGCCUCCCUCCAGCUCCUGGCCCUCAGGCAGGCUGAAGGUAGGAGGCCUCAUCCUAGACUGCAUGCUGGCCUCCAAGGCCUCGCACACCCUGGCCCCUGGCACCUCUCAAGUCUCAUCUCUCACUGUGCUUGCCUUUGCCUUUGCUCUUUGGGCUUCGCGCCCCGCGCCCCCCUUCUCCUUCUUCCUCUACUAUCUCCUCACCUCUGGGUGUUUGCACCUGCUGGUCCCUCUGCCUGGAUUGCCUCCUUUCCCCUCCCUUUUGCACAGCUAACUCUUACUCAUCCUGUGAUCUUAAAUGUCAUCUCCUCAGGAGAGUGUUCCCUAAUUCCCCUAGGUUGGGUUAGAACCUCUGUCGAAUAUGCUCCCUCAGUCCAUGGCCUACCUGUGACAUGCAUGGCCUUUCCAGGUACCCCCAAGCAUCCUCUCUGACCACUCUCUCCCUCACACCAUUUGCCACAGCCACAGUGGCCACCUGAUGCCCCUCAAACCCACUAAGCUCUAUCCUGUUCAGAAUUUUUUUUUUUUUUGAGACAGAUUCUUGCUCUGUCACUGAGGCUGGAGUGCAGUGGUGCGAUCUUGGCUCACUGCAGCCUCCGCCUCCCGGGUUCAAGCAAUUUUCAUGCCUCAGCCUCCUGAGUAGCUGGGACUACAAGCAUGUGCCACCCAGCCAAUUUUUGUAUUUUUAGUAGAGACAGGGUUUCACCAUGUUGUCCAGGCUGCUCUCAAAUGCCUCAGCUCAAGCAAUCUGCCCACCUCAGCCUCCCAAAAUGCUGGGAUUACAGGCGUGAGCCACCACGCCUGGUUAGUUCAGGAUUCUUACAUUUGCUGUUCCCUCUACCUGGAACACUCUUCCCCCUUUCAUCCUCCAGGCCUCAGUUCAUGUGCCAUCACCUCUGAGAGGCCCUCCUGACUCUCCAGCUGAGUUGCGGUCCCCCUCUGCCUCUCUUAUACCACCCUGAGCCUCCCUUUAGUACUUAUUACCAUUAAUGAUUGUUACUGUUAAAUUGUGAUUUCAUUGCCUCCUAUGCUAGAUUGUAAACUUGACAAGAGCAGGGACUUUGGUUUUCUUCAUUUGUUGAACACCUACUAUGUGCCAGGCCCAGGUUUUGCCCUCUGUCUUGUGUCCAUCUGUAUCCCCAGCACACAGCAGAGUGCCUGGCACAUAGGAGGUACUUAAGAAAUAUUGCUUAAUAAAAACUCAACCUUGGGCUCCUGCCUCUUUGUCUCUAAAUUGUUCCAGAACCAUCCUCCAUUAUUACCUACAAAGAAGCCAUGUAGCUUUGUGGUUAAAGGACUGGAUUCUGGAGCCAGCCUUCUUCUGUUCAAAUCCCAUACUUAUAACUUACUAGGUGCUUGACCUUGGGAAAGUAAAUUUAAUUUCUCUAUUUCUCAAUUUUUCCAUCUGUAUAAUGGGAUAAUAAUAAUUAGUGUCAUCAUGAGAAUUACAGGAGUUAAUAUUUGUAGAACACUUAGAAUUAUGGACUAUAAGCAAUAAACAGUAGCUGCUGUAAUGUUACUAUGUUGAUGAAAAAAUAAAGUGCUUUAUAGAACAGCA